AAUGAACGCUGGCGGCAUGCCUAACACAUGCAAGUCGAACGAGACCAUCGGGUCUAUUGGCGUAUGGGUGCGUAACGCGUGGGAACCUGCCCUUAGGUUCGGAAUAACUCUCCGAAAGGGGUGCUAAUACCGGACAAUGUCUUCGGACCAAAGAUUUAUUGCCCUUGGUUGGGCGCGCGUUGGAUUAGCUAGUUGUUAGGCUAAAAGGAUACCACGGGGACAAUCCAUAGAUGGUUUGUGAGGAUGGUCAGCCACACUGAGAUUGGGAAGCGGCCCAGACUCCUACGGGAUGCAGGAAAGGGGGAUGUUGCAAAGUCGGCGGAGUCAUGAUGGAGCUAGGACGCGAAAGUGAUGAAGGCAUUGAGGAUGUAAAGCUCUUUUACCCGGGAUGAUAAUGACGGUACCGGGAGAAUAAGCUUCGGCUAACUCCGUG
rnacentral:rRNA from 1 species